AGCGGCUGUUUAAAUAGUGGUGCACACAGCAAAGGGGCUUCGUCGCCUUUGGGGGGCUGUGCAGUGCCCCCCAGAGUGAAUCAGUAGGCUCUACAGAA